rnacentral:tRNA from 1 species
GGGGAUUUAGCUCAGUGGUAGAGCGCUUGCCUAGUAAGUUCAAGGCUCUGGGUUCAGUCCCCA